CUUUAGUGAUGUGAUACAUAUUUUGGUAGUUUUGGUAGUUUUUUUUUUCUUUUAGUUUGUGAUGCAUAUUGUAAGUGCUAAUUAUUAGUACUUUUUAAAUGUAUUUAUUUAUAAGCUUGAAUGAUUGAUAGAAUCUCUUUUUAGAAGCUUCAUUUGGGUAGAUAGUGUAUGUUAUCCUUUUAUCUCUACAUGAUGAAAACUAUGAUGGGCUAAGGAUUAAGCUCCAGUGAAG
rnacentral:misc_RNA from 1 species